CCUACGGGCGGCAGCAGUGAGGAAUAUUGGUCAAUGGGCGCGAGCCUGAACCAGCCAAGUCGCGUGAGGGAUGAAGGUUCUAUGGAUCGUAAACCUCUUUUAUAAGGGAGUUAAGGGUGGGAUGUGUCCUAUUUUGUAUGUACCUUAUGAAUAAGGAUCGGCUAACUCCGUGCCAGCAGCCGCGGUAAUACGGAGGAUCCGAGCGUUAUCCGGAUUUAUUGGGUUUAAAGGGUGCGUAGGCGGCCUUUUAAGUCAGCGGUGAAAGUCUGUGGCUCAACCAUAGAAUUGCCGUUGAAACUGGGGGGCUUGAGUAUGUUUGAGGCAGGUGGAAUGCGUGGUGUAGCGGUGAAAUGCUUAGAUAUCACGCAGAACCCUGAUUGCGAAGGCAGCCUGCCAGGCCAUGACUGACGCUGAUGCACGAAAGCGUGGGGAUCAAACAGGAUUAGAUACCCCUGUAGUC
rnacentral:rRNA from 1 species